CCCUGAACUUUGUUUUAAAGAUUAGAUUAAGGAAUGAAUUCGUCUCACAGGAUUGUAAGAGUCAAAGCGUGAGUGCUCACAUUUUUAUAUGAAGGACAAUCUAUACCCGUCAAUCCCUGGUUUUAAUAUGGCAAGAAAAAUAAUAGAGUACCUGCAUAUUCAAAAUAGAAAGUCAAGUUCAAGAUCUUUAAGUGGAAAAUUGUCUCACUGGGAGAACAAUCUUAAUUUCCAUUUAAUCCCAAAUAUCUGUUAGUUGUUUAAGUUUGAAAAUAAGCUUGUCAAUUUUGCUGAAAAUAAUACAUUUUAUGUUCUGGUUGGCGAUUCUAAUGUGAGACCAAAGAUAGUCGGCAAUCAAUAUGGAGAAGGCCCAUCCUUUGUGCUUGUCUAUAUCUCAUCUCGUUGAAGAUGUUGAAGCAUGCCUAAAUUUUGGUGGAAUAACAAAAAGUCAGCGUAAAUCAAGUUAAGGAUUCUGAUGGUGUGCAAACAUCAAAGGAACAUCAUUCUAAUAGGAGAAGCAAUAGUGAUCUGCAUCUGGCUUUUAAUGGUGAAGAUAAGACAAAAUCUGCAUCAAUCUGACAGGCCUUUGACAAGGAUGGUGAUGUCGCUUUAAUGGGACUCACCUACAACACAAGGAAAGCCCACAUUAGAUCAUUUGGUGCCCCAUAUGGCAAAGAAGACAACACAGUCAUAUCAAUUGAUGAUUCCUAUGAUAAAGAAGACAUAAAAAUAAUUUCUUUUGAUGGUUUCCCAGAUGAAAAAGGAUGUUAACCCUGUGGGGAGGCCUGACAUAGACUUCAUUCAAUUUUUAUAAUCAAUCUUCAGUUCAUGUGUCAAUACCUUAUGAGAAAGAGAUAGAUGCUUCUAAUGUUGACUAAAUAAAGUUUAAAACCGUGUCCAAGAAUAAGCAAAAGUUCAAAACAACAUGCUUCAACUCAAUUAGUUAUAAGGUGUCGACCUCUUAUACACCACCCUGCACUGGUAAUGGAAUAGUAUUCAUUUUGUUGCAUGAGAAAUAAGAUAUUCAUCGCAAAACAGAAACGAUAAAUAGUGGUACCUGAGCAAUAUGCUUAACAGAGAUCAGUUUAAUCAUUACAAAUGAUGCAUACCAUCCUUGCUUUAGACCAGAAUAUUUCCAAGAGCCCUUCGGCAUCAUCAUCAAUAUAAAAGAGGGUAUCCAUGGGCAGCCCAACAUCAGAACAAAAAGGGAAAUCCAAUCAGGAAUGGACUAUCAGUUAAUAAAAGGCUGUAAAGAGAUGGCAUCAGGAAUGGCCUAUGCUGUUACAGAUUUCAAAUAAAAUCNNNNNNNNNNNNNNNNNNNNNNNNNNNNNNNNNNNNNNNNNNNNNNNNNNNNNNNNNNNNNNNNNNNNNNNNNNNNNNNNNNNNNNNNNNNNNNNNNNNNCAAUUUUUGUCCUACCCAAUUUCGCAGUCUCCUUGCAUCGGUUGACUCAUAAGAAUUUUCCCUGAUCAGUAGACAUUCAAUUUGUUAAGAGUUUAUCAUCUUGUAUGUUCAUUAUUUUUUUUUGUGUGCUCAUCAGACCGAUCAUAAGUCUUGUAAUGUUUAAAGUGCAAGCACGUUACCCAUGAUUAAGUUGAUCUAGGUAAUGAUUUUUAACACAAGCCUUAGACAAAAGAUGUGAAGAUCUUAAAUAUGAUUUUUAUGAAGAACUUGUAAUUCACAGAUUCCCUGAACUUUGUUUUAAAGAUUAGAUUAAGGAAUGAAUUCGUCUCACAGGAUUGUAAGAGUCAAAGCGUGAGUGCUCACAUUUUUAUAUGAAGGACAAUCUAUACCCGUCAAUCCUUGGUCUUAAUAUGGCAAGAAAAAUAAUAGAGUACCUGCAUAUUCAAAAUAGAAAGUCAAGUUCAAGAUCUUUAAGUGGAAAAUUGUCUCACUGGGAGAACAAUCCUAAUUUCCAUUUAAUCCCAAAUAUCUGUCAGUUGUUUAAGUUUGAAAAUAAGCUUGUUAGUUUUGCUGAAAAUAAUACAUUUUAUGUUCUGGUUUGCGAUUCUAAUGUGAGACCAAAGAUAGUCGGCAAUCAAUAUGGAGAAGGCCCAUCCUUUGUGCUUGUCUAUAUCUCAUCUCGUUGAAGAUGUUGAAGCAUGCCUAAAUUUUGGUGGAAUAACAAAAAGUCAGCGUAAAUCAAGUUAAGGAUUCUGAUGGUGUGCAAACAUCAAAGGAACAUCAUUCUAAUAGGAGAAGCAAUAGUGAUCUGCAUCUGGCUUUUAAUGGUGAAGAUAAGACAAAAUCUGCAUCAAUCUGACAGGCCUUUGACAAGGAUGGUGAUGUCGCUUUAAUGGGACUCACCUACAACACAAGGAAAGCCCACAUUAGAUCAUUUGGUGCCCCAUAUGGCAAAGAAGACAACACAGUCAUAUCAAUUGAUGAUUCCUAUGAUAAAGAAGACAUAAAAAUAAUUUCUUUUGAUGGUUUCCCAGAUGAAAAAGGAUGUUAACCCUGUGGGGAGGCCUGACAUAGACUUCAUUCAAUUUUUAUAAUCAAUCUUCAGUUCAUGUGUCAAUACCUUAUGAGAAAGAGAUAGAUGCUUCUAAUGUUGACUAAAUAAAGUUUAAAACCGUGUCCAAGAAUAAGCAAAAGUUCAAAACAACAUGCUUCAACUCAAUUAGUUAUAAGGUGUCGACCUCUUAUACACCACCCUGCACUGGUAAUGGAAUAGUAUCCAGUUUUUUACAUGAGAAAUAAGGUAUUCAUCGCAAAACAGAAACGAUAAAUAGUGGUACCUGAGCAAUAUGCUUAACAGAGAUCAGUUUAAUCAUUACAAAUGAUGCAUACCAUCCUUGCUUUAGACCAGAAUAUUUCCAAGAGCCCUUCGGCAUCAUCAUCAAUAUAAAAGAGGGUAUCCAUGGGCAGCCCAACAUCAGAACAAAAAGGGAAAUCAAUCAGGGAGUUAGGCCAAACACUAGAUAGAGGACAUUAAGCUAAUAAAAGGCUGUAAAGAGAUGGCAUCAGGAAUGGCCUAUGCUGUUACAUAUUUCAAAUAGAAUCAUUAAGCCAAUCCAGCCAUGGACUAUCAGUUAAUAAAAUCUCAUAGGACAGCACUAAGCAGAAGUAAUUCGAAAUUAUUAUCCUCCAGUUACACUUUGAGGCAUUAAUGCAAUGAUAUUAGAGGAAAAUAAAAUGCUAUCGACAGUAAGGGCAUCAAUCAACAAAAUUUCAAAAGGGCUGCACUAAACAGUUACAUUCUGAAGUAAUAACAGAGCAAUAAAGUAUGAAAUUCAAAUCAGUCGGGGGUUACAAAUCAGUGUAGAAAAACAGUAAGGUACUAAGGCAAAGGGAAAUACAAUCAGCCGUGAAUAAUAUCCAGAGAGCAGUUUAGAGCAUUAAUAUUUUAAUUACGGUCAUCAUUAGCAAAUUAUAAAUAGCUCGACAGUUAUCACAUAGUCCUAAUCAGCAUUCAUGGGCAGUUAAAGUAUUGAAAUCAGAAAGCAAAAUUCAUGGGAUUUCAAAAGGGGCAGUUUCAGUCAGUAACUCAAAAAAAGCAAAAAAAGCAAAAGAGAAAGAAUACAAAAAAGAAAGAAAAGCAUUGCAACAGUGAUAAAAAGAGAACAAAUCAGAAAAAUUAGAGAGGAUAACAAGUGAAAAACAUGGAGCAUUCUAGAGAGAAAGGCAGAAAUAUAAACAGAGAGACUGACAUUCAAGCAAAGUCAACUUGUUAUCCGAUGCAAACCGUAGUACGAGUAGUAACCAGAACCGGGAACCACCGUGAAGGUUCGGGUCCCGCCGAUGAAAACCGCACUCGAUCCUUUCCUCGCCCUUAAUAAGCCUCUACGAGGACAGGAAGUUAUAAAAAUGAUAAAAAAUGUAUAAUAAUAGAACAAAGAAGCAAAUGGAGAAGUAAGAGGAGACGAGUGAUGAAAACCAAAGAGAUUAGGAAGGAAUGAGGACCUUUUUUCGGCCGUGAAUGAGAACCGAACCACCGUAAGCCCCGAUGAUUCUUAAUCACCGCUAUCGCAACGCUUCAAGCCGAGUCAUCACCGAAGAAGAGAAAAGAGGGAGAUUUCGUUCGAUGCAUCUUGAAGAGAAAGGGAUUCUCUUCGUCGAUCCCCUCCAACACGGGCUGGAAGGCUUCCUCCAGCUAAAUCCGUGAGCCAUCGUGCUCCUCCGCGCCGAUGAAGGUGGAGCGAUGCAAGAAGGAGGAGUUGGCAAUUAGGGAUUUUAUUCCCAUUUCCCUUUCUGCUGGAUUCCAUGGGUUUGGGGGUGAAAGGGGUUCACCCCUUUUAAUUAUUCCCAUCUCAUUUAACUCCUUUUCUUUAUUUACUCUUUGGUUGAUUUUUUUUUAUUUUUCAUUAUUCCAUCUAUGCAAUUUAAAAUGAAAUGAACAUUAAUUUAUAUGCUGCAUAUCUCAUAACUUUUAUAAUGAUUGCGUAUUCCAACUUUAAGCAACAAGCUAUUUUAUCACUAAAUUCAACCAUCAAUUCCAUAUAAACUAUUUUAUUUAAUAAGACUAUUUUGCUACUAAACUCUAUAUGUAUAAAUAAUAAGAUACACCAACACCGUCUCUAAACUAUUAAUUCUAUAUGUAUAAUUAAUAAUCACCUAAAUUCUAUAUGUACGAAUAAUUAGAAACUAUAUUAUCAAAUUAAUCAUAGAAUUUUUAUAGUAAGGUUAUGGCUCGAGUUGUCUCUAACUUCUCUAAGAAUGAGAAGAAGGUCUACAACCAACACCGUCUCUAAACUAUUAAUUCUAUAUGUAUAAUUAAUAAGCUAUUUUAUUACUAAAAUCAUAUAUCUAUAAAUAAUUAGAAACUAUUAUACUAAAUAAAUUUUAUGGGUUUUUUAGUAAGGUUACGGCUAUUAAUCAUGUAUAUAGAAAAUAAUUCUCCGGCCUAUUUUGCUACCUAAUUCUAAAAAUAACCCAAUAUUAUUUUAGCGAAUAAAUUGGGAUUUUUAUAGUGAGGUUACGGUUCGAGUCGUCUCUAACUCCCUGGAAAUAAGGAGAAGGUCUACGACCAACACCGUUCCUGAACUAUUAGUCUCAUUGAACCAAAAAAAUUAUAUAUUAACAAACUCAAUAAGCUAAUACCUCUAAAACCUAUCGGUAUUUUCCAAAUCAUUAACAAUCAACCAAAGUAGAAGCAAUUAUUUGAAAUAGAACUACGUAAGCCUUGAUCCCCUUAAUAGGGGUACGUAGGACCAAAGUCAAUAUUGUCAGGCUCAAUAAUAAAGAUAAAUAAUUCUAAAUAAAUAAUUGUUAAGGGUAUAAAAGUCUAUGUUAUUAGCGAAUACGGGCGGACGGGGUGCUAAUACCUUCCCCGAUCUGUAAUCGACUCCCGAAUUCAGAAUCUCUAUCUAAAGACCAUUUUAUCCUAAUUGGGCUUACUAUAGAGUUUUCUACGUUUUAACCGCAAAAAACGUAGUGGCGACUCCAAAUCAAUUGGGAGAGGUAGAAAUCGGGUUCACUUCUCUCCAAGUCGUAGAGCCGGUCUUCCAACCGAAAAGCGGGUCGCGACAGUUGGCGACUCCACUGGGGACAUCCUAUAAGAGAGUCAGGCCUUGAACCGCUAAUAACAAGAACUCAAGUACCCUUUUAUUUUUUGUUUGAGUCUUGUUUUUCUUAGGAAUGAAUUAUUAUCUUGAAUUACCUUUGUUGUAUGAUAUGCGAGUUCACGUGUUUGUUUUGCAGCUUAUUGGGGGGUGGGGAACUUCCUACAAAAGGUUUGUAUGCUUCCUCACACACUCACGAGAGUCAACAUGUACCUAUACCCUGAGCCCGGGUAUUAGUGAUUAAGAUCUAAGAUAGAAGGGACAUCUGCUUUGCCGGUAAGUGACCUCGAGUCGCAUCUGGUAUUGGUGGAAUGAACCACCCAGAUCGUUUCUGGUAUUAUGAGUUAAAGGCUUGGAGGGCUCGAUCCUUCUCAUUUUUAACCUAUGAUACCUGGUCUCCUUAAUUUCGGGAUUGGGUGCGAUCUGGUGACCUAGAAGUCUAGAGCUUUACCAAGUCCACUCUAAACAAAAUCUAGUAUCCUCACCUUAGGACGUAACCUAUAAACAUUCCAAGAAUCCCUUGUAAGACGUACCUUAUUUAGGACACAGGAAGCAAACAAUUUCUACUCUUUAUUAUUUACAAUCAUAAAAGUGGGGCGUAGGCCGUAAAUGGCCAGUUCCUUCAACAUCCCCACCAGAGGGCCCAAUGCCCUACGGGAUGCAUUUCAUACACACCCGUUGAUGGGUGCAAACACCCUAAAGACGUAAUUUAUGUUAUAUCAGACUAAUCGAGGUUAUUUCAUUUAAUCCCAUGCUGCAAUUAGUCCCAUUAAUGCGCUCGAGGCCCUAGGGACAAGUUUAUAUCACCAUGUUAUGAAAACAUAAUAUAAUAAAAUCAAGAUUUUACUGCCCCCAUAUAAGGACCAGCAUCCUAGGGGGUAUACAUCAUGCACAUCAUUCAUUCAUGCAUUCAUCCAUGCAUUCUUUAUCUCAUUUAUUUAACACCUUUACGAUUGUCACGCCUUUUGCAGAUUACUUUGUCGAAGAGAAACUGGUAUAGUAAGACAUGGAGACUGAUUCUCAAGUUGUGGGUUCUGUCAGCACUCUAUCAGUGAAAAAAGGAGUGAGGGUAGAAUUACAAGUUAUGGAUGUAAGCUUCCUAGCAGAUCUUGUCCCCAAGAUCCCUCAAGAGGUUCAAGACCAGCUGGCAAGAGAAUAUGGAAGGUUGUCUGACUUGGUCCUCAUCACGGUUGAUAUAGAAACAUUAAAGGGCAUGAAAGACAUGAUCCAGUACUGGAACACUGCUCUACACAUCUUCGAAUUCCCAAAUAUUGAUGCAUCCCCGACUGUGGAGGAGUAUGAGGUCCUACUCGAUAUCGGCUCUUCCAUCACAGAUAUCGAGCUAUCAAACAGGCUAAAGCUGUAUCAGUAUAACGGUACUCAGAAUGUUACAGAAGAGUAUAUCGAGGGGCUGAUCGGGAUGCAUCCCUUGUUCUGGGCAGAGUUACGGCUUUCUGUUUUUGCUUCGAAUGAUAUGGGGCCUAGGUUGCCCAAUAUUUGGGGUCUUUGCAAUGAAAAAACAUCUUGCCGAAAUGGUGGAACAAGGAAAUUGGGAGCUAUUCAAACCCGCUUUUGCUCUAGCAGUAUAUGGUAUGGUCCUAUUCCCUUUCGUUUAUGAUAUGGUAGACCAAGCGACGAUCGAUGUCUUCGCCAAAGUCAAGAGGUUCAGAGUUAACCCCGUUCCAGCAAUAGUCGCAUAAAUUCUCUUAUCUUUCCAAAGGUGUCAUGAAAAAGGCUACCACAAGGUCCGUUGUUGUGUACAUUUACUCUAUGUGUGGAUGAUUACUCGGUUUGCGCAUCACCAAUAUCCAGAUUGGAGCAGGUACCCCCUGCGCCGGUUCAGAAAUAUUGCAAUUAAACCUAUGCAACUGGCGGAUUGGAAGAAACUGUUCAAAGAGGUAACCCCUAGGAAUUUUGGAACAAAGUGUUGCUUAUAUGACAAACAUCAGGCAGUGAUGUACUCAUGUGGAGACUUUCCGAACAUGAUGUUGAUGGGCCCCCGAGGAUGCAUCUCUUUCACCCCAGCCUCAGUACUGGGACAACUGAAAUGGGGGAUGAAUCCGGUACCUCAAGAAAAGUUGCAGGGGAUCACAGUCUGGUAUAGGGACGAGGGAACUACCCGAGAAGUUCUCACAUCUGUUGGGAACGCUCUGAGGAGUAUCCGUCUCUGUGGGAAGAAUGAGCUUGGAGAACACCAAGCCUAUUACACUGAAGAGUACAAAUGCUGGAGGAAUGAAAGGACGAAAUAUGUUAUGUUGCCACCAUCUGAGUCAUCAAAAGAACCGAUCGGGCCAUCCCAUAACGAACUACUACUCGUUAGUCAGAACAAACUUCUGGAAUCAGAGUUGGAAGAGGCCCGAGAUGAAGUAGAGAAAUAAAAAUUGAUGGUGGAGAAGCUUAACAAACCAUCGCUGCACAGAAGAAGGAGGAAGUCAGCUUGAAGCGAGACUAUGCCAGCAUGUGCUCUUCAUCCGACAAAUUCCGCCUGAUCCGAGCUGGCAAAGAAAAAGACAAAAAAAUAACAGAAUUGAUCAGGUCAGAGAAAGAAAAAGAUGAACAGAUAGCCGACAUGGUUGAUCAACUGAAGGCUCGAGGGCGAGCCCUACAUACUACUUAAAGGGAUGUUCACAUGCUGAAAGCAAAAAUAGAGAAUAUGCAUGCCAACCGAAGAGAUGGGAGCCAAACGGGGGCUAUCUUAAAAGAGUAUCAGGAAGCCUUGAUGCGAGCCAGGGAAAGAGAGGAUCAACUGAAUGUUGCGUUGGAUGCUCGUUUCCAAGCAUUGGCUGAAGCAAAUCACGAUAAAACCCAUCUUUCUGAACGAAUGAAGGACCUUGAGGAAGCCUACAAUGAGUUAAAUGCCAAACAUCAUGAGUGGUCACACAACUGGGAGAAUAUGCUCCAGGAGUGUAAAUGGGACAAGGAGAAAUGGGAAGGAAGAUGCAGGCAAAUCAUCGAGGGUCUUGGGGACUUUGCUGAUGAUUGGUUGAGAAACUUUGAUGAUGCCCGCCAGGAGGUGGAAAUGUACCCUGAUACNNNNNNNNNNNNNNNNNNNNNNNNNNNNNNNNNNNNNNNNNNNNNNNNNNNNNNNNNNNNNNNNNNNNNNNNNNNNNNNNNNNNNNNNNNNNNNNNNNNNUGCUGCAUCUGGAGAAUAUUGAGCAUUUUAUGUUUUUCUUCUCCUUUGUUAAAAAUAAAAAGAAAGAGAGAAUCAUAAAGGAAAAUUGUAGUCCUACUAUGAAUAUGAAUAAAAAAUUUCUCCUUUUCUCAGAGUUUAUCCAAGUUGUUAUCUAUACAAGUAUCAUAAGGGCUCAUCAUCUUAUCUAAUAUGCAAGUAAAAAAUUCGUGACAGAGUAAAAACAUCUUGUAAUUAGACACAAUCUUGGUCUGAAGCCUAGAGUUUCUUCUAACGAUUGGUAUCAAAUGUAAACGGUCUUGCGGACUACGCUCCCAAGAUUACCAAAUACAUGACAAGAUGUUUAAUGAUAGUGAUCCACAAUGAGAGAAUAAGCCUAGAUGUAAGCAAGGUCCGAAGCCUAGAGCUUCCUCUGAGUAUUGUUAUCAACACAAGAGAAACUAUUGGGGUGCGCCUCGUAGUCAGCAAAUGCCGGUCAAGAUGUCUUACUAUACCAAGCCUCUCGAAGACAAAGAAAUCAUUUUGCUUUCAUUUUUAUCAUUUAUUUUUCAAAUUUUUAUUUUUCAAAAAUUUAUUUUUCAAAUUUUUAUUUUUCCAAUAACUCAGGUUCUGUAAUCAUUGCACACCAACAUCCUUACAAUACCCGAUCAAAAACAAAGACCAUGGCCGACCAGGAAGCUACUACUGGAGGGAAUCCCGAGGUGAUUGAGCUGAAAGAGCAAAUAGCACUGAUGAUGAGAAUGAUGGUAGCCAUGCAGCAAGAAAUGGCAUCUGGGAAUUCUUCUGUAGCAGAUAAGCGGGCCCAAUCCGCACGUAAUGCCAAUGAAGGGGGGCACAACCAACAGUCUGCCUCUAAGCAUUAGGGUGCAUCACAAGGACAUACCUCGUCAAACAAAGAGAACUCACAACACACCAACCAACAUGACUCGGAUGACGAUCCUAACUACCACGCUCCCAAGAAUGAUAAAAGCACUGCAGGACAUCAAGCUAGUAAAGACACAAACGCGAUGAUAAAGGGAAGGGGAAGGAGGAUGAAAUGUGGGACGUCAUUAAUGAAAGGCUUAAAGCUGUGGAAGGGGCUAACUGUCCCGAUUUAAAGAACGCUUUUGAAAUGUGUCUGGUCCCAGAUGUCGUUCUUCCUCCUAAGUUCAAGGUUCUCGAAUUCGAAAAGUAUGACGGGACUACAUGCCCGAAAAGCCAUCUUCAUAUGUACGCCCGGAAAAUGUCAGCGUACCAUAAUGAUGAUAAGCUGCUGAUUCAUUGCUUUCAAGAUAGCCUUGUGGGGAUCGCCACUUUGUGGUACAUCCGCCUCGAAAGCAAGCACAUUAAGACCUUCCUGGAUCUUUCCAAUGCCUUCAUAAGGCAGUACAAAUUCAAUGAGGACUCUGCGCCGGACCGCAACAAGCUUCAAAGCAUGUCGAAACCGGCAAGUGAAUCAUUCAGGGAAUAUGCACAGAGAUGGAGAGGAGUGGCCUCACAAGUCUUACCCCGUCUGGAGGAAGAAGAGCAGAUCACUAUCUUCAUCAAUACUCUCCCUAACCCUUUCUUCGACAAGAUGAUUGGGAAUAAUACAUGUGAUUUCAAUUCAUUGAUUAGAGUAGGAGACAGAAUUGAGCAAAACAUGAAAACUGGAAAGAUUGCCGCCGAACAAACCGGAGAGCCCAAAAGGCCCAACUACAUGAAAAAAAGAAACUGAAGCCCACUACAUAGCCGGAGAACCCCAAAAGAUGUCAAACAAGAUAAACAACAAUCCCUGUUCAUAUACACACCGCCCUCAACACAACCAAACACCAUACCAACCGAGCUCGCAAAACACAUACCAGAUCCCAUACCAACCAAUAGCCUACAUUAACCACAACCGCCCACCACUUCAACAAAACACAACCUUUCAAUACAACCAACCACAACCAAACCUCUAUCAACCCCGACCACCUAGGCCCAACUAUCAACCAAAUAACCAAGCCCAAAACCAUCAUCCACCCGCGCAAUACCAAACUCAGGAAAGAAGGACUUUCGACCCUAUCCCUAUGACCUAUGCCGAACUAUUCGCCACCUUACAAACAGAGCGCAUCCUAGCACCCAUUCUAGGAAGAGUCCCAAAUACUAUGGCCGCAUGGUACAACCCCAAUGUCAAUUGUGCUUACCAUUCGGGAGUAGUGGGGCAUUCAAUCGAAACUUGUAAGGCAUUAAAACACAGAGUGCAGGAUCUUAUCGAUUCCGGAUGAUUGAAAUUCAAAGACGAUGUUCCCACCAUCACAAACAACCCUUUGCCCAAUCAUGGGAACCAGGGGGUGAAUGUCUUAGAGUGGGAUGAGGCAGACACUAUUAUUGACAGGGUGGAAGACAUAAAGACACCCCUAAAGAUCAUAUUUUUGGAGAUGUGCAAAAGAGGUCUGGUGAAGUGUACGCAAGAUGGUCAACAUGAAGGUGACGUUUGCAUGCUACAUGGGACUACAUACCAUAACAUAGAAGAAUGUUCCAAGUUCAGGUCAUUGAUACAAGAAUUAUUGGACUCCCAGUUGUUGAGGAUCGGGAGGCGAAAUGAAUGUUCUGACAUAUGUGUCAUUGAAAAAGACGAGGAAAGUCCGAGUCCGGUCAUUAUAAGGUAGUUUGUACCAGUAUUCAACAUACCUACUAGCACACCAUCAUAUGCAGCUCCGCCCCGAUGGGCGCCUCAUUUGAGAAAUAUGGGACAUGAGAUAGCAAGACAACCGAGCCCAUUCCCAUAUCAAUCAGACAGAGCCGUCCCUUGGAAGUAUCGAGAGGAAGCCGGAAAAAUGCCAGUUCCAACAAAUGAAGUUGUCCACUUGGCCGGGGUGGGAAAUAUGACAAGGAGCGGAAGGGUUUAUAGCCCCGUUGAGAUAGCCAGUAAAGUCAUCAAUGCGUCUAAAGGCAAAGAAAAAGUUGAUAAGCCAGUAGAUACCAGUUCUGGAGCGGCCCGGGUUGAGAUCCCUCCAUUUGAUGUUGAAAGAGAAGUCACAGAUGAUGAAGCUUGUGAGUUCUUAUGAUUCAUCGGGCAAAGCGAGUAUCAAAUAGUUGACCAGUUGAGUCGCACUCCAGCCAAGGUAUCAUUGUUGUCUUUACUGAUGAAUUCAGAAGCUCACAGAAAGGUCCUACUGAAAGUGCUGAACCAGGCCCAUGUCGACCAUGAUAUAAGUACUAGCAAAUUAGAUGGUAUCGUCAAUAAUAUCAUGGUCGAUAACUUUAUCUCCUUCAGCAAUGAGGAAAUACCGAGUGAAGGAACAGGGCACACCCGUCCUCUCCACAUCUCCAUCAUGUACACAGAUUUUGUAAUAGGAAGGGUGUUGAUAGACAAUGGUGCAUCGCUCAAUGUGAUAACCAAGAGAACAUCGUCUAAAUUACGAGUGGACGAGUCAGCCAUAAAACCAAGUUCAACAGUUGUUCGAGCCUUCGAUGGAGCCCGAAGGGAUGUGCUGGGAGAAAUCGAGCUACCUGUGAAGAUUGGGCCGUGUACUUUCCAGAUCCUAUUUCAGUUCAUGGAUAUCAAUCCGUCGUUCAGCUGUCUAUUGGGAAGGCCAUGGAUCCAUUUCAUCGACGCUAUACCUUCCUCAUUGCAUCAAAAGGUGAAGUUUAUCGCGGGGGGCAAGUUGAUAACCAUCAUGGGUGAAGAAGACAUUCUGGUGUCUCAGCUUAGUGAUACCCCAUACAUAGAAGCUGACACUGAAGCUUUAGAGUCUUCUUUCCGGGCGUUAGAGAUUGCAAGUGCUUCUUCCAAUAGGAGAGGACAUCCUAAACUCAAUCUGCCACCCUCUAAUGUCUCCAUUAACAUGGCGAGGGUCAUGCUAAAGAAAGGAUUCCAGCCAGGAAAAGGUUUAGGGAGAUAUGGUCAGGGAAUUGAAAACACCACAACCCUCCCAAUUAAUAAUGGUCGAUAUGGAUUGGGCUAUAAACCCAGCAAAGCUGAUGAGGACCGACUGGCAGAGGAAAAGAAGAGGAGUACUACUCGUGCGGGGCGUUACAGAAAUGAUAGCAGAAGGAUUCCCAUCCCCCACAUCAGUCAGAGUUUUGUGAGUGCAGGCUUCCCAGAACAGAAACUGAUUGCAAUGAUGAGUGAAGACCAGCCAGAUGAUGAUUUCAGUCAGGUGUACUAGUGCCCUCCAGGCAUGAUCUUGGACAAUUGGACCAUAAAGGAUGUUGCUAGCUGUAUUUAUGGGCCAAUGUAAUUAAAAAUGUUUUAACAUUUAUAAACUUUUUUGGUCACCAUUUGCCUAGCCCUGGGCAUUUGGAUCUCGUGUUAAUAAGGGCAUGUUUUUACUUUCAUCAGUGUGAUUUCUAAUAAAACAAACCAUCGCAUUUCAUUCCAUUUCUUGAACAAUUUUAUAUUGCACUUUCUGCCUAAACAAAUCAAUAAAUUAACCUGAUAUAAACCAAUAAACCAUAAUGCAGAUCUGACAUCGAAUCUAUAUCUAAUGCCAUCAUUAACAAUCACUUGCCAAAUUUUGAUCACCCGAUAAAUCAAGCAGAGGGAUGUGACAGUGACGAAGGCUGCGAAGCGUCACCGGAAUUGCGGAGAUUAGUCAAACAAGAAGGCCAAGAAAUUCAGCCUCAUGGGGAACCCGUCGAGUUGGUGAAUCUAGGUUCAGAGGAAGAAAAGAAGGAGGUUCGGAUAGGCACAAUCAUGGAUAGCACUGAGCAAGAAAAACUCAUUGCGCUUCUACAUGAAUACAAGGAUGUAUUCGCUUGGUCAUAUGAGGAGAUGCCAGGUCUAGAUCGGAAUUUAGUGGAACACAAACUACCGCUACAAGAAGACUCUAAACCGGUAAAACAAAAACUACGAAGGAUGAGGCCAGACAUAUCCUUAAGAGUCAAAGAGGAAGUGGAAAAAUGGUUGGAAGCCAAAUUCGUGACAGUCUCUACAUACCCCAAAUGGGUGGCCAACAUAGUUGCAGUGCCAAAGAAAGGAGGGAAACUCCGGAUAUGUGUUGACUAUAGAGACCUUAAUCGGGCAAGUCCAAAGGAUGACUUCCCUGUGCCACACCUCGAUGUUCUAGUCGAUAGUACAGCCGAUCAUGCUUUAUUCUCAUUCAUGGACGGAUACUCCGGGUACCACCAGAUUAAGAUGGCUCCGGAAGAUAUAGAUAAAACAACCUUCAUUACCCCAUGGGGUACCUUCCGCUAUCUCGUGAUGCCAUUCGGGUUAAAAAAUGCUAUGGCCACCUAUCAAAGGGCCAUGAUUGCCAUUUUUCAUGAUAUGAUGCACAAGGAGAUCGAGGUCUAUGUCGACGAUAUCAUUUGCAAAUCCAAAUCGGAAGAGGAGCAUGUCCCCAAUCUGCGAAAGCUCUUUGAGAGGUUACGAAAGUAUCAGCUCAAAUUGAACCCAGCUAAAUGCAGCUUCGGAGUGAAAUCUGGCAAAGUCUUGGGCUUCAUUGUUAGUCAGAAAGGCAUAGAGGUUGAUCCUGAAAAAAUCAGAGCCAUCGCCGAGAUGCUAGCCCCUAAGACAGAGAAAGAAGUUAGAGGAUUCUUGGGUCGUCUGAACUACAUCUCCCGGUUUAUCUCUCAACUAACUGCAAUUUGUGAACCCAUAUUCAAGUUAUUAAGGAAGAAUCAAGCGGUGACAUGGAAUGAAGACUGCCAAACAACUUUCGAAAAAAUCAAGCAAUACUUGGACAGAACCUCCGAUAUUGAUGCCUCCAGUCCCAGGUCGACCCCUAAUCCUGUAUCUAACAGUGCUGGAUGAGUCCAUGGGUUGUAUUCUAGGACAACAUGAUUACUUAGGGAAGAAAGAGCAGAUCAUUUAUUACCUGAGCAAGAAAUUCACUGAUUGUGAGAAGAGGUAUUCUCUGCUGGAACGCACUUGUUGUGCCUUGGCAAGGGAUCGUAAUACAUGUUGAGCCACACUACUUGGUUGGUAUCUAAAAUGGAUCCAAUUAAAUACAUAUUUGAGAAGCCUAUUAUGACGGGGAGAAUUGCCAGAUGGCAGGUGCUUCUAUCCGAGUAUGAUAUCGUGUAUGUCACCCAGAAGGCAAUAAAAGGAAGUGUCCUCGCCGAUUACCUUGCCAGCCAACCGGUAGACAAAGGGGAUUUGAUUAAUGAGGAAUUCCCUGAUGAAGGGAUUAUGAUGAUAUCUCUAGGCAUGGAAACAGAAGGAGAUAGAUGGACUCUUGUGUUUGACGGGGCUUCCAAUAUACUCGGACACGGAAUAGGGGCAGUAUUGAUCUCCCCGGAGAAUAAAUUCAUCCCGAUUACUGCUCGACUAUGCUUUGACUGCACCAACAACAUCACGGAGUAUGAGGCAUGUGUCUUGGGUUUGGAGGCGGCCUUGGAGUCAAGAAUUAAAUCCAUAGAAGUAUUCGGAGACUCUGCUCUAGUGAUUCAUCAAGUAAAAGGGGAAUGGGAGACCAGAGAUUCUAAGUUGAUACCAUAUAGAGAUCAUAUCCAAAAGUUGAUCGAUCGAUUCGAGGAAAUAGACUUUUACCAUAUCCCAAGGGAAGAUAAUCGGUUGGCUGAUGCUUUGGCAACUUUGUCCUCCAUGUUCCAGAUAGGUGAAAAGGAAAUGCUAGUUAUCAGAAUAGCAAGCAAAGAUCAGCCUGCAUACUGCUAUGAGUAAAGAGUAUCAUGACAUAAUGACAUACCUCAAGAGCAAAGAGUAUCCUUCCGAGGCCACGGAAAAUGAUAAAAGGACUCUACGAAGGUUAGUUAUGGGCUUCUUUCUAAACGAAAACGUGUUGUACAAAAGAAACCAUGACAUGAUGCUACUGAGGUGUGUGGAAGCCAAGGAAGCAGAGAAGAUCAUCCAGGAAAUACAUGAAGGAAUGUUUGGGACCCAUACGAAUGGGCACUCAAUGGCUCGGAAAAUCCUGAGAACAGGCUAUUUCUGGUUAACAAUGGAAAGUGAUUGUUGCGAUCAUGUACGAAAAAGUCACAAAUGCCAGAUUUAUGCUGAUAAUAUUAAUGCAUCUCCCAGCCUGCUAAAUGUUAUGUCUUCCCCAUGGUCGUUUUCUAUGUGGGGUAUGGACGUUAUCAGUCCGAUCGAACCAAAGGCUUCCAACGGUCACCGCUUCAUCUUGGUUGCAAUCGACUAUUUCACCAAGUGGGUCGAGGCGAACUCAUACGCAAGCGUAACUCGUAACGUGGUACUCAAGUUUAUAAAAAAGGAGUUGAUUUGCCGCUAUGGUUUGCCUCAGAAAAUUAUCACAGAUAAUGCUACCAAUCUCAACAACAAGAUGAUGACGGAGAUGUGUGAGGAAUUCAAAAUCAAACAUCACACUUCUUCGCCUUACAGACCUAAGAUGAACGGGGCAGUGGAGGCAGCAAAUAAAAAUAUAAAGAAGAUAGUCCAGAAAAUGAUGGUGACCUACAGAGAUUGGCAUGAUAUAUUACCAUAUGCACUUCAUGGUUAUCGGACUUCUGUCCGCACAUCAACUGGGGCAACACCCUACUCGCUGGUUUAUGGGGUGGAAGCAGUGCUGCCGAUAGAAGUCGAAAUCCCGUCACUAGGAGUGCUCGCUGAAGCUGAAUUAGAAGAGGCAGAAUGGGUCCAAGCUCGACAUGGUCAGUUGAAUCUUAUUGAAGGGAAGAGGUUGGCAGCCAUAUGUCAUGGUCAAUUAUACCAGAGGAGGAUCAUGAGGGCACAUGCUAAGAAGGUACGCCCUCGAGCAUUCCGGGAAGGUGACUAGUACUGAAGAAGAUUUUACCUAUUCAGAAGGAUCACCGGGGAAAAUGGACACCCAAUUACGAAGGCCCGUAAGUGGUAAUGAAAGCGUUCUCAGGGGGAGCUCUCAUUCUGACCAACAUGGACGGAGAAGACCUUCGUCUCUCCGUAAACUCUGAUGCAGUGAAGAAGUACUAUGCUUGAGGCGACUUCCUAAAAAAAAAGAUGAAAAAAAAGAAAAAAACAAAAAAGAAGGAGAAAAAGAAACUCAAUUUCUUAGGAAUAUUAAUGUAAUGAACACGAUCGUUAUUUAUAAAAUUGCAUACAUGUUUUAAGCGAAAAUGGAGAAUGAUGUAGACAAAUUCCCUAAAGGUGUGAAUUCUCGAAUAAAUGUUUCCGAUGACACAAGGCUUCUUUGUAACUCCUAAACACUUAUGAAGAUAUCCCUAGUCACCCUAUUUUAGCCCAGACUUUAUGAAGAAUGAUCAAAAUAAAAACCCUAAAAAGACAUUAAUAACCGGGGAAGGGUAGUUUUUCCAAUAUUUCCUAUAAUUCAAAAGAACAAUGCUUCAAAUCAAGUAGUGAGAAUCUAGAAAUCUCAAAGUAGAAGAAAAAUGAGAAAGGUCCGCUAAGAUACUCAAGAGAUCUUAGGCAAAAAUUAGGACAAAAACACAUCAGAUCCUCACUUGUCAAUACUAAAACGAAGCAAUAAAAUCACGAGAGGAAUCAUUGGAAAUAGGAUAUCGGAGAAAAGGAGAUGUAGUGGGAAGGGAAACACAAUUUGAGCCUUAAUAUCCAUUUUUUUGUAAGCCAUUUAACCAGGCCACGAUUCAAGCCCAAAAAGUCCUUGUUGAGGAAUAAUUUGUUUGGAACCAUGCUAGGGUAAAAAGCAAACUGACUCCAGAAGGAAACGUUUUAAGUGCACUCAUAUUUUGUAAACCAAAACUCGCACAAAGUGAUAAUUACGUUAAUAUUUCUAAAAAAUAAAAAGAAAAAGAACAUCCUGGUAGGUCGAAAACCUGAAAGGGCGGCCUAGGCAAAAGUUAGGGAUUAUCAUUAAAGAAAGUCGUUCUCAAUCGGAAGAAUGAUCACUCAGGAAGACAUCAAAGUAAGAUACUGGGGGCAGGUUCAUUGGAUGAGUAGUCUCACCCANNNNNNNNNNNNNNNNNNNNNNNNNNNNNNNNNNNNNNNNNNNNNNNNNNNNNNNNNNNNNNNNNNNNNNNNNNNNNNNNNNNNNNNNNNNNNNNNNNNNAAAAAAAACUCGUUCAAAUCUAUACCUCCACAUGUUAAUAUAAAGUCAUACCUUGUUCAUUAUCCCUCAUAUAUUAAUGCAUGAGUUGUUUUUGUGAAAAUACACUGAUGAAUAAUAAUAUGACCUUUUGCGAUAAUUAAUCAGAACAAGUAAUCGAGCAGCAUGGCCAUCCGUAAAGAAGAGCUGAAAUCAUGUCAAUAUAAAGCUUUAUUACUAGAGCUUCCACACCAAAUGAAAUUGGAACUUCAGAUUGUAAGGAUGCUCAAAAUCAAAUUCAAUGAUAACGGACUUGUAAAAUGAAAACAAUCAAGAUUUUCUCAAUAAAUGAUUCAAACAUUACAAGCAAAAAACCACACAUCAUGCAUUGCAUAUUCACAAACUAAAAAACAUCUGCAUUUACUUUUAUUGUCUCGAGUUCCGGCAGUACCUGACCAGCGUUCUCGCAAGUACUUUUAUUGUCUCGAGUUCCGGCAGUACCUGACCAGCGUUCUCGCAAGUACUUUUAUUGUCUCGAGUUCCGGCAGUACCUGACCAGCGUUCUCGCAAGUACUUUUAUUGUCUCGAGUUCCGGCAGUACCCGACCUGCGUUCUCGCAUUUACUUUUAUUGUCUCGAGUUCCGGCAGUACCCGACCUGCGUUCUCGCAUCUACUUUUAUUGUUCCGAGUUCCGGCAGUACCCGACCUGCGUUCUCGCAUUUACUUUCAUUGUCUCGAGUUCCGGGAGUACCCGACCUGUGACCUGCGUUCUCGCAGUUACUUUUAUUGUCUCGAGUUCCGGCAGUACCCGACCUGCGUUCUCGCAUUUACUUUCAUUGUCUCGAGUUGUGGUAGUACCCGACCUGCGUUCUCGCAUUUACUUUCAUUGUCUCGAGUUCCGGGAGUACCCGACCUGUGUUCUCGCAUUUACUUUUAUUGUCCCGAGUUCCGGCAGUACCCGACCUGCGUUCUCGCAUUUACUUUUAUUGUCCCGAGUUCCGGCAGUACCCGGCCUGCGUUCUCGCAUUUAUCUUUUUAUUAUUUCGAGUUCCAGCAGCAUCCGACCUGCGUCCUCGCAUUACCUUUUGUUAUUAUCAAGUUCCAGCAGUACCCAACCUGCGUUCUCACUUUACCAAUUAUCUCUAUCUCACUUAAGGUUGUAUAGUUUCUUUCGCCCAUUUGUACCAAAAUUGACGUUCAUUUCUUUACUAACUGCUUACAGAAAUAGCAACCAAUCCUCAGUUUGUCUACUACUUAGUAAGCAAUGAGUAAAGAGGGGCAGUUGUGAACACUCAAUUUUUGUCCUACCCAAUUUCACAGUCUCCUUGCAUCGGUUGACUCAUAAGAGUUUCCCUGAUCAGUAGACAUUCAAUUUGUUAAGAGUUUAUCAUCUUGUAUGUUCAUUAUUAUUUUUUUGUGUGUGCUCAUCAGACCGAUCAUAAGUCUUGUAAUGUUGAAAGUGCAAGCACGUUACCCAUGAUUAAGUUGAUAUAGGUAAUGAUUUUUAACACAAGCCUUAGACAAAAGAUGUGAAGAUCUUAAAUAUGAUUUUUAUGAAGAACUUGUAAUUCACAGAUUCCCUGAACUUUGUUUUAAAGAUUAGAUUAAGGAAUGAAUUCGUCUCACAGGAUUGUAAGAGUCAAAGCGUGAGUGCUCACAUUUUUAUAUGAAGGACAAUCUAUACCCGUCAAUCCUUGGUCUUAAUAUGGCAAGAAAAAUAAUAGAGUACCUGCAUAUUCAAAAUAGAAAGUGAAGUUCAAGAUCUUUAAGUGGAAAAUUGUCUCACUGGGAGAACAAUCCUAAUUUCCAUUUAAUCCCAAAUAUCUGUCAGUUGUUUAAGUUUGAAAAUAAGCAUGUCAAUUUUGCUGAAAAUAAUACAUUUUAUGUUCUGGUUGGCGAUUCUAAUGUGAGACCAAAGAUAGUCGGCAAUCAAUAUGGAGAAGGCCCAUCCUUUGUGCUUGUCUNNNNNNNNNNNNNNNNNNNNNNNNNNNNNNNNNNNNNNNNNNNNNNNNNNNNNNNNNNNNNNNNNNNNNNNNNNNNNNNNNNNNNNNNNNNNNNNNNNNNUUCAUUCAAUUUUUAUAAUCAAUCUUCAGUUCAUGUGUCAAUACCUUAUGAGAAAGAGAUAGAUGCUUCUAAUGUUGACUAAAUAAAGUUUAAAACCGUGUCCAAGAAUAAGCAAAAUUUCAAAACAACAUGCUUCAACUCAAUUACUUAUAAGGUGUCGACCUCUUAUACACCACCCUGCACUGGUAAUGGAAUAGUAUCCAGUUUUUUACAUGAGAAAUAAGGUAUUCAUCGCAAAACAGAAACGAUAAAUAGUGGUACCUGAGCAAUAUGCUUAACAAGGAUCAGUUUAAUCAUUACAAAUGAUGCAUACCAUCCUUGCUUUAGACCAUAAUAUUUCCAAGAGCCCUUCGGCAUCAUCAUCAAUAUAGAAGAGGGUAUCCAUGGGCAGUCCGACAUCAGAACAAAAGGGAAAUUAAUCAGGGAGUUAGGCCAAACACUAGAUAGAGGACAUUAAGCUAAUAAAAGGCUGUAAAGAGAUGGCAUCAGGAAUGGCCUAUGCUGUUACAGAUUUCAAAUAAAAUCAUUAAGCCAACCCAGCCAUGGACUAUCAGUUAAUAAAAUCUCAUAGGACAGCACUAAGCAGAAGUAAUACGAAAUUAUUAUCCUCCAGUUACACUUUGAGGCAUUAAUGCAAUGAUAUUAGAGGAAAAUAAAAUGCUAUCGAUAGUAAGGGCUAUCAAUCAACAAAAUUUCAAAAGGGUUGCACUAAACAGUUACAUUCUGAAGUAAUAACAGAGCAAUAAAGUAUGAAAUUCAAAUCAGUCGGGGGUUACAAAUCAGUGUAGAAAAACAGUAAGGUACUAAGGCAAAGGGAAAUACAAUCAGCCGUGAAUAAUAUCCAGAGAGCAGUUUAGAGCAUUAAUAUUUUAAUUACGGUCAUCAUUAGCAAAUUGUAAAUAGCUCGACAGUUAUCACAUAGUCCUAAUCAGCAUUCAUAGGCAGUUAAAGUAUUGAAAUCAGAAAGCAAAAUUCAUGGGAUUUCAAAAGGGGCAGUUUCAGUCAGUAACUCAAAAGGUUUUUGCAUUGACUCAUACUCAGCUAUAAAUAGCAGCUCCAUUCAUAACCAGAGGAACAUUGAUACACACAUACAUUCAGCCAAAAAAGCAAAAGAGAAAGAAUACAAAAAAGAAAGAAAAGCAUUGCAAUAGUGAUAAAAAGAGAACAAAUCAGAAAAAUUAGAGAGGAUAACAAGUGAAAAACAGGGAGCAUUCUAUAGAGAAAGGCAGAAAUAUAAACAGAGAGAGUGACAUUCAAGCAAACUUAAUCCAAAAUAGACUUACGUUUCACAAGCAUUACAAAGUGGUAGAACCCGUAUCAUACGACAGGAAGCAUAUAUUCAGGUAACCAUUCAAACGAAAUAGGUAUCAUAACAUGUCUUAUUUUAGGUGAUUUAUGCAUCGAAGUUAUAGGAAUAAAUUAUAAACCGAUUUAAUCGGCCAUUUCGCAGAAACUCACAUAAGUAUAAUAGGCUAGAAUAUAAAAUAGAGCAUGAACGAAAUUGGUUUUAAUCUAUGUAUUUCCACCAGUUAAAGAGAUUUGUUUUAGUCCAUGUAUUCCCACCAGUUAAAGACCAAACACUCAUCGAUGUUGACAUAACAGAUUAAAUUCAUGCUCUAAAAUCAAAUAGAAAGGAUAAAAGAUCAAAGAGGGAUACCGAAGUAGAAAAAUGCGAUUUCCAUUCUCGAUGUCAUCUUGUUAUCCGAUGCAAACCGUAGUACGAGUAGUAACCAGAACCGGGAACCACCGUGAAGGUUCGGGUCCCGCCGAUGAAAACCGCACUCGAUCCUUUCCUCGCCCUUAAUAAGCCUCUACGAGGACAGGAAGUUAUAAAAAUGAUAAAAAAUGUAUAAUAAUAGAACAAAGAAGCAAAUGGAGAAGUAAGAGGAGACGAGUGAUGAAAACCAAAGAGAUUAGGAAGGAAUGAGGACCUUUUUUCGGCCGUGAAUGAGAACCGAACCACCGUAAGUCGCGAGGAUUCUUAAUCACCACUAUCGCAACGCUUCAAGCCGAGUCAUCACCGAAGAAGAGAAAAGAGGGAGAUUUCGUUCGAUGCAUCUCGAAGAGAAAGGGAUUCUCUUCGUCGAUCCCCUCCAACACGGGCUGGAAGGCUUCCUCUAGCUAAAUCCGUGA
rnacentral:lncRNA from 1 species